AAGACGUUUGUCAUGUUCACACUCAAACAUCAUCAGUGAUACAGAAGAACACUUGAUCUCUCAGGAAAAACUCUGUUGAAAAUAUUUCUUUAAACUUUCAACAGUUUUCUCUGGUUGAACGAACAUUAAAGAUGGAAACAGCUGUGAAGAUCAUUCUCAUUGGUUGUCUGAUAAAAGAUGUUUUGUGUGACUUCAGUAUCAAUCUGCCAGAGAGGAUAGAAGCUCUAGAAGGAUCCUGUGUUUUCAUACCCUGCACUUUUGAUACCG